GAGGGUAUAGCUCAACGGUAGAGCAUGCGCUUAGCAUGCGUGAGGUCCUGGGUUCAAACCCCAAUACUUCCA
rfam:Camelus ferus unplaced genomic scaffold scaffold322, whole genome shotgun sequence.